CCUACGGGAGGCAGCAGUGAGGAAUAUUGGUCAAUGGGCGAGAGCCUGAACCAGCCAAGUCGCGUGAGGGAGUACUGCCCUAUGGGUUGUAAACCUCUUUUGUCGGGGAGCAAAAGCCGGACGUGUCCGGCUGUGAGAGUACCCGAAGAAAAAGCAUCGGCUAACUCCGUGCCAGCAGCCGCGGUAAUACGGAGGAUGCGAGCGUUAUCCGGAUUUAUUGGGGUUAAAGGGUGCGCAGGCGGAUUUUUAAGUCGGCGGUCAAAUCGUGGGGCUCAACCCCAUCCAGCCGUUGAAACUGGGGAUCUAGAGAGUGCGAGAGGUAUGCGGAAUGCGUGGUGUAGCGGUGAAAUGCAUAGAUAUCACGCAGAACCCCGAUUGCGAAGGCAGCAUACCGGUGCACAACUGACGCUCAGGCACGAAAGCGUGGGUAUCGAACAGGAUUAGAUACCCCAGUAGUC
rnacentral:rRNA from 1 species